rnacentral:rRNA from 1 species
UGGUGCGGUCAUACUAGCGCUAAUGCACCAGAUCCCAUCAAAACUCCGUAGUUAAGCGCACUUGGGCCAUAACAAUAUUGGGAUAGGUGACCUCCCGGGAAGUCCUGGUGUCGCACCCCC